UACGUAGGGGGCAAGCGUUGUCCGGAUUCAUUGGGCGUAAAGAGCGUGUAGGCGGCCAGGUAGGUCGGUUGUGAAAACUGGAGGCUCAACCUUCAGAGGUCGACCGAAACCAUCUGGCUAGAGUCCGGGAGAGGAGAGUGGAAUUCCUGGUGUAGCGGUGAAAUGCGCAGAUAUCAGGAGGAACACCGGUGGUGUAGACGGCUUACUGGACCAUAACUGACGCUGAGGCACGAAAGCGUGGGGAGCAAACAGG
rnacentral:rRNA from 1 species